GGCGGACGGGUGAGUAACGCGUUGGUGACCUGCCCCGAAGAAGGGGAUAACAGUUCGAAAGGACUGCUAAUACCCUAUGUUAUCAGUUGGAUUAGAUGCCUUCUGAUUAAAGGAGUAAUCCGCUUUGGGAGGAACCUGCGUCCCAUCAGCUAGUUGGUAGGGUAACGGCCUACCAAGGCAAUGACGGGUAGGGGACCUGAGAGGGUGGCCCCCCACAAUGGCACUGAAACACGGGCCAUACACCUACGGGUGGCAGCAGUAGGGAAUAUUGGACAAUGGGCGAAAGCCUGAUCCAGCAACACCGCGUGCACGAUGACGGCCUUCGGGUUGUAAAGUGCUUUUAGAGGAGAUGAGAAAGGACAGUAUCCUCUGAAUAAGCCUCGGCGAACUACGUGCCAGCGGCCGCGG
rnacentral:rRNA from 1 species